CUGCAGUGAUGGCAAUAUUUUUCGUCAACAGCAUUUCACCCUGUGAAUGGUGACACCUACUUUCUGAGCGG
rnacentral:snoRNA from 1 species